ACCACAAUAAGACUAAAAUUCCCUUUCCCGCUCAAGAAAAUUUUGGCUCCAAGAUUUUAGGGGCGACUUAUACUACAUCACUACUAAAUGGUUAUUGUGGAGACUAAGUCGCUACUAAAAGUACUUUUAAAAAAUGAAAAAAAUAAAAAACGGAAAGACUCCAAAAAGAAUAAAAAGGAAAAAACGCACAAAACUUUUAUUUUGGUCAAUAUUGCAUCCACUUUCCUCCCAAUUUUCCCUCUUUAUAACCCUAAUCCAUAUCGAAAAUUCAAGAAUCCAACAACGAUUUCCUUCCAAUUUGUCAUUUCCGUUGAAGAAAUCAUGUCUUCAACCUGAACCUGAUGUUCCUUCUCUCUGCACACUAUAUUUGGGGUGAUGUUGAAUCACAAAGCAUUAAUUAUAUUGAUGCAAGUGAACAGGCUCAGAAAAGUGUGCAUAUUCAGGAAGAUGAUUUCAUUAAUGACAAUCAUAUAGAUAUGUGAUAUGUCCGAGAAUGAAGAAAACGAAGAAUAGGCAUUGACAUAGAAGACAAUGAUAUGGAGUGACCAAAGAAAUAGCUUUGAAUCGAGUUACAAUCAUCCCGAAUUUUAACAGAAAGUGCACAUCCCAUCCGAAGACUAAAAUAAGUGGUUCAGAGCUGCUAUCCGAAGGAGAUGAAAUCCAUCCUAUUGCUAGUCACCUCACUUCUGGUGCUUCCCUGUCAGAAAUGGACAAAUUUGCUCGUUAAUGGAAAUUGUUCAACAAGGAGGAGUCUGAAGAUGCUUUGUGAUUCUUUCUUUUCAUGUGUAAAUACCAUGUUGAUGAAUUUAUGAAGUGUUUACUCUAUAUUAUGGCAUUUAAGUAAUAAGAAGUUCUUAUGCUACUCUUGUUGA